rnacentral:rRNA from 1 species
UAUCUCUGUAGAGUCUGCAUAUCAAUAAGCGGAGGAAAAGAAACUAACUAGGAUUCCCUUAGUAACGGCGAGUGAAGCGGGAAGAGCUCAAAUUUGAAAUCUUCAAGGUUUUACCUUGACGAAUUGUAGUUUAAAGAAGUGUUUUCUGUUGAAGUUUCGGUAAAAGUUCUUUGGAAUAGGACAUCAUAGAGGGUGAGAAUCCCGUAUUUGACCGUUAUUUUCAGCUGUGUGAUACACUUUCAAAGAGUCGGAUUGUUUGGGAAUGCAGUCCAAAAUGGGUGGUAAAUUUCAUCUAAAGCUAAAUAUUGGCGAGAGACCGAUAGCGAACAAGUACCGCGAGGGAAAGAUGAAAAGAACUUUGAAAAGAGAGUUAAACAGUACGUGAAAUUGUCAAAAGGGAAGCUUUUGACACCAGUGUUGUUUUCUCGAAAAUCAAUUAAAAAUGGCUUGAUUUUGUGUUGUAUUGACCUUAAAAGCUUUCUUCACUUUUUUCAUGUCUUUUUUAAUGCACUUUUCGUUUAACAAGUCAACAUCAGUUUCUUUUGUUGUAAAAAGGUCAUUGGAAGGUGGCUUUCUUUUCGGAGAAGGUGUUUAUAGCCUUUGACUUCUGCAAUCGGAGAGACUGAGGUCUGCAGCGUAGAUCCUUCUGGAUUAGAUUCAUUUGUGCUAAGUUACAACCGUUUAUAGACAACUUGUUGACUAUAUUCGAUCCUGUAGCUUACUCGCUUAUGUAAUUUUACCUACGCUUAGGAUGUUGAAGAUGUAGCACAUCAU